rnacentral:lncRNA from 1 species
CAACGGGUUCAAUUCUUAAAACUUGUAGAUACAAACAAGAUAGUAUCUCCAGGUCCUAUGGAUCAAGACAGGAGCACCCUUCUGGCCAUUCUUCCUCCUAUGGGACAUGUUUCUUGGAUACUAUGUCUUUUUGUAAGGCGAGUGGGGAGGGAGAUAGGAAUUAGUGCCAGUUAGAUAAUCUGUGGAACACUAACUAUUUCUUUUCCUUUAUCAGGUACUGCUG